rnacentral:rRNA from 1 species
UACAGAGGUCUCAAGCGUUUGUUCGGAUUCAUUGGGCGUAAAGGGUGCGUAGGUGGCGCGCUAAGUCAGGUGUGAAAUUUCGGAGCUUAACUCCGAAACUGCAUUUGAUACUGGCGUGCUUGAGGACUGGAGAGGAGACUGGAAUUCAUGGUGUAGCAGUGAAAUGCGUAGAGAUCAUGAGGAAGACCAGUGGCGAAGGCGGGUCUCUGGACAGUUCCUGACACUGAGGCACGAAGGUCAGGGGAGCAAACGGG